rnacentral:rRNA from 1 species
GACGUAGGGUGCAAGCGUUGUCCGGAAUUAUUGGGCGUAAAGAGUUCGUAGGCGGUUUGUUAAGUCUGACGUUAAAGACUGAAGCUCAACUUCAGCAUGGCAUCGGAAACUGGCAGGCUAGAGUCUGGUAGAGGCAAGGGGAAUUCCCGGUGUAGCGGUGAAAUGCGCAGAUAUCAGGAGGAACACCGGUGGCGAAGGCGGGUCUCUGGGCCGAUAUUGACGCUGAGGAGCGAAAGCGUGGGGAGCGAACAGG